CAGUUAUUAUGAAAUCGAAUUCGGGUCCUGAGCAGUUGAUAGCUAUCCUGCCAGGGCUAGUGUACACCAGUGACCGUGAGUCAUCUAGCGGGUUGGCCGGUCAAGUGUCCGUGAGAGGUGGCCACCUCUCCGGCACACAGUUCCAGAUAUGAUAGAUUACAAGAGAACUUAGUCUGCAGACGAACUUUAAGAAUCACAAAUGAAUUUAGUAAGCUUGGGCCUUUUUAGCGAAAAACUCCCUUGCUGUACUGUUUAUGAUGGCAUGACAAUUUACAACUUUACGAAGCAUGUUAUAUUUCAUAGUGGGCAUUACUUUCAUAUAUAUCAAAUGAGUUUAAUGUUAUGUUUGAACAGUUAUUUCAUUGCAAAAUCUUUGAACUGAAAAUUAUUUCAACUGUUGUCUUGCCAUAAAUGUUUCAAUGUUUGGUAUGAUAUCUAUCUGAUGUGGCUUUGCCAGUUAUUAUGAAAUCGAAUUCGGGUCCUGAGCAGUUGAUAGCUAUCCUGCCAGGGCUAGUGUACACCAGUGACCGUGAGUCAUCUAGCGGGUUGGCCGGUCAAGUGUCCGUGAGAGGUGGCCACCUCUCCGGCACACAGUUCCAGAUAUGAUAGAUUACAAGAGAACUUAGUCUGCAGACGAACUUUAAGAAUCACAAAUGAAUUUAGUAAGCUUGGGCCUUUUUAGCGAAAAACUCCCUUGCUGUACUGUUUAUGAUGGCAUGACAAUUUACAACUUUACGAAGCAUGUUAUAUUUCAUAGUAGGCAUAUGUGCCCACUGAGUACCUUUGUACUCAGCCCUGCAUGUAUUUCUAAAUGUGCAGGUUGAGCAGUAGACGAUGGUGAUGAAGUGACGAGUGAAAUCCUCUUUUGUCGCAAUAUUAUAUGCUAUGAAAAACUCUAGGGUUACAUGUCUUCAUACAUGUAAUCAGAACCUUAUUCCGCUGCGUACUCAGAAGUUUUAUGUUAUUUUGGCUAAGUCAGAGUUAUCUGAACUUACUAGUUAUUUGAGUCUAUACGACUAAAACUCCGUUAUAUUAUAAAUAUCCAUGUUGUUAACAA